rnacentral:tRNA from 1 species
GUGGGGUUUGGGGUGUGGGGUUUUACCGAUUUUGAGGUAGUCAGUUACCUAAUUUUCAGGGAAAAAGUCCAGGGAUUUUACCCCCGAUCCCUCC